rnacentral:lncRNA from 1 species
GCUGUUCUCAUGAUAGUAAGUCUCCUGAGAUCUGAUGGUGUUAAAAAGAGGAAUUCCCCUACGCAAGCUCUCUCUUUGCCUGCUGCCAUCCAUGUUAAGAUGUGACUUGUUCCUCCUUGCCUUCUGCUAUGUGAGGCUUUCCCAGCUACGCGGAACUAUGGAGUUUCUCUCUUGUCCUCUAGGCUGGAGUGCAGUAGUGUGAUCUUGGCUCACUGCAACCUCUGCCUCUGUGGUUCAACGAUUCUCCUGCCUCAGUCUCCCAAGCAGCUGGAUUACAGGCACCGGCCACCACACCUGGCUAAUUUUGUAUUUUUAGUAGAGACAGAAUUUUGCCAUGUUGCCCAUGCUGGUCUUGAACUCCUGACCUCAGGUGAUCUACCCGUCUCAGUCUCCCAAAGUGCUGGGACUACAGGCUUGAUGUAUUUUGUUUUUCAUAUCCACUCAGAGACUUUGAAUAAGGCCACUUUUCCCCCUAUUUAUUUAAUGUAUUGGGUCUUUAUUGCCUGUACCAGUCAUUUCCUUAAAAAUAGUGUGUUACUUAAAUGCCCAAGAUUCAGCUUACACAGUCAUCUCCCACUUCUUUGACUUCCCACUGGCGCUUCCCUCCCACAAAUUCCUUCCCUUCACUUCAGCCACAUUCCCCAUUCCAGAGCCAAACCCUGGACAAUGCCAUCACUUGAAAUUUGAAGUUACCGAAAUCAUUAGUUCAUACAUUCUAUUCUCUGAUAACUACCUCUACUUCUGGCCUUUUUGCACCCCUACUCCCUUGACACCUGCAGUUUCACACUGUAGCUGAGCCAGUCCACAGUUGAAUUGAACUCUUCUUUACCACCAUGCAUACUUAUCCAUUGUCUACAGUUCUCUCCUUAUUAAGUAAAUCCUAUUUAUCAAUUCAGUUGUUUUCACGCCAAUAGUCCAAACAUUAUUCUUCCCCCAUUGGCUUUUAAUGUUACUUAAAAGCCCUGAAUCUUGUGAAGACCUAGAAAUUUCUCCAUUAUUUGAACUUCCCAAUAUCUCAAGUUUCAGCUCAUAUUGCUCUUCUAUUUUCUUUGUAUGUUGCAGCCAUUCUAGGAUUAAUUAUAUGUCCUUGUAAAAUAUUUUUAACUCGUUGUCUUUAUACACAUAUUUCUCUAUCGAGAUUGACUACUUUCCCUCCCUUUUAAAAACUAUUAAUUGAAGCUUCUGUCUUAUAUCCUGUGCUAGGCAUGUGAAACACAUCAAUGAACAAAAGAAAGAAAAAUCUUACCUCACGGAACUUAGAUCUCAAUGGGAUAGGUACAAUAAUCAUGACACAUAAAUAAAUUAAAUAAUGUUUUAGAAGGUAAUAAGUACAAUAAGAAAGGGGCAGAGUAGGACUAGUUAAAGGAAACAGGAGUACUAGAGUGUCUUAGGUUAUAAUUUAAAAAUACGUGAAGGAGUUAGCCAUGAGAAUAUUUGGAAGAAAAGCAUUCCAGCAGAGACAACAGGCAGAGUAAAUACCACAAGGCUAAUAUUGAUUUUUCUUUCCUUAGCUAAAAUAAUUUCCUUGGCUAAGAGAUCAAUCAGCUCCUAGACUAGGUAAAAUAUGCUCUGCUAUUUUUUUUUUCAUUUUAUCUAGCACUUUGCCUACAGUAAGACACUUCACACACUU